rnacentral:rRNA from 1 species
GACUCUCGGCAAUGGAUAUCUCGGCUCUCGCAUCGAUGAAGAACGUAGCAAAAUGCGAUACUUGGUGUGAAUUGCAGAUUCCCGUGAACCAUCGAGUCUUUGAACGCAAGUUGCACCCCAAGCCUUCUGGCCGUCGGCACGUCUGCCUGGGUGUCA